UACGUAGGAGGCAAGCGUUGUCCGGAAUCACUGGGCGUAAAGCGCGUGUAGGCGGAUCGCUAAGUCUGUGGUGAAAGCGCCUGGCUUAACCGGGCGAGGUCCAUGGAAACUAGCGGUCUGGAGGCCGGUAGAGGGGGUGGAAUUCCGGUGUAGUGGUGAAAUGCGUAGAGAUCCGGAGGAACACCAGUGGCGAAGGCGGCCCCCUGGGCCGGUACUGACGCUGAGGCGCGAAAGCGUGGGGAGCGAA
rnacentral:rRNA from 1 species